rnacentral:tRNA from 1 species
GUGGAGGAAAGCUAAGUGGUAAAACACUUGCCUAGCAUGCAUGCAGCCCUGGAUUCAAUCCCCAGCACCACA